AUUGAACGCUGGCGGCAUGCCUUACACAUGCAAGUCGAGCGGCAGCGCGGGGGCAACCCUGGCGGCGAGCGGCGAACGGGUGAGUAAUACAUCGGAACGUGUCCAGUUGUGGGGGAUAACCAGUCGAAAGACUGGCUAAUACCGCAUACGAUCUACGGAUGAAAGCGGGGGAUCGCAAGACCUCGCGCUAUUGGAGCGGCCGAUGUCCGAUUAGCAGUUGGCGGGGUAAAAGCCCACCAAGGCGACGAUCGGUAGCUGGUCUGAGAGGAUGAUCAGCCACACUGGAACUGAGACACGGUCCAGACUCCUACGGGAGGCAGCAGUGGGGAAUUUUGGACAAUGGGGCAACCCUGAUCCAGCCAUGCCGCGUGAGUGAAGAAGG
rnacentral:rRNA from 1 species